UCUUUUUGAGUAUAAUUUAAAGUCUGAUCYSCYCCMYGAUUAUUAAUAAUUAAAUAGCUGCMGAAUUUUAACUGUACAAAGGUAGCAUAAUCAAUAGUUUUUUAAUUAAAAGCUGGUAUGAAUGAUUUAAUAAGGUAAAUUUUGUCUCAAAUUUAAUGGUAAUAGAAUUUUUUUUUUAGUAAAAAUACUAAAUUGUUUUUAAAAGACGAGAAGACCCUAUAGAUUUUUAUAUUUUUGUAUAAAAUAUAUUUAAAGUAAAAAAAUAAAAUUUUAUGUAAAAAUAUUUGGUUGGGGCAAUUGUUAAAUUUAAUAAAUUUUAAUAGUUUUAAACAAUGAUUAUUGGAAUUUUGAUCUUMUUAUAUAAAUUAUAAAAAUAAAAWMCCUUAGGGAUAACAGCGUAAUUUUUUUGGAGAGAUCAUAUUGAUAAAAAAGUUUGCGACCUCGAUGUUGAAUUAAAAUAAAAUUUUAA
rnacentral:rRNA from 1 species